rnacentral:rRNA from 1 species
UACGGAGGGUGCAAGCGUUAUCCGGAUUCACUGGGUUUAAAGGGUGCGUAGGUGGGAAAGUAAGUCAGUGGUGAAAUCUCCGUGCUUAACACGGAAACUGCCAUUGAUACUAUCUGUCUUGAAUACCGUGGAGGUGAGCGGAAUAUGUCAUGUAGCGGUGAAAUGCUUAGAUAUGACAUAGAACACCAAUUGCGAAGGCAGCUCGCUACACGAAUAUUGACUCUGAGGCACGAAAGCGUGGGGAUCAAACAGG